rnacentral:rRNA from 1 species
AUUGAACGCUGGCGGCAGGCCUAACACAUGCAAGUCGAGCGGAUGAAGGGAGCUUACUCCUGGAUUCAGCGGCGGACGGGUGAGUAAUGCCUAGGAAUCUGCCUGGUAGUGGGGGAUAACGUCCGGAAACGGGCGCUAAUACCGCAUACGUCCUGAGGGAGAAAGUGGGGGAUCUUCGGACCUCACGCUAUCAGAUGAGCCUAGGUCGGAUUAGCUAGUUGGUGGGGUAAAGGCCUACCAAGGCGACGAUCCGUAACUGGUCUGAGAGGAUGAUCAGUCACACUGGAACUGAGACACGGUCCAGACUCCUACGGGAGGCAGCAGUGGGGAAUAUUGGACAAAGGGCGAAAGCCUGAUCCAGCCAUGCCGCGUGUGUGAAGAGGGUCUUCGGAUUGUAAAGCACUUUAAGUUGGGAGGAAGGGCAGUAAGUUAAUACCUUGCUGUUUUGACGUUACCAACAGAAUAAGCACCGGCUAACUUCGUG